rnacentral:antisense_RNA from 1 species
ACGCUCACAACGCUCUUUAGUCAUCGUCAAGCAGAUCAGGCCACGACCGUGAGUUGCCAUGAAGUUGAUCGCUUCUGGAGUGACAUGUUCGGCCGCCAUGAUCA